rnacentral:rRNA from 1 species
AUACGUAGGGUGCAAGCGUUAAUCGGAAUUACUGGGCGUAAAGCGUGCGCAGGCGGUGUUGUAAGACAGAGGUGAAAUCCCCGGGCUCAACCUGGGAACUGCCUUUGUGACUGCAAGGCUAGAGUACGGCAGAGGGGGAUGGGACUCCGCGCGUAGCAGUGGAAUGCGUAGAUAUGCGGAGGAACACCGAUGGCGAAGGCAAUCCCCUGGGCCUGUACUGACGCUCAUGCACGAAAGCGUGGGGAGCAAACAGGAUUAGAUACCCUGGUAGUCCACGCCCUAAACGAUGUCAACUGGUUGUUGGGUCUUCAUUGACUCAGUAACGAAGCUAACGCGUGAAGUUGACCGCCUGGGGAGUACGGCCGCAAGGUUGAAACUCAAAUGAAUUGGCGGGG